rnacentral:rRNA from 1 species
UACGAAGGGGGCUAGCGUUGCUCGGAAUUACUGGGCGUAAAGCGCACGUAGGCGGAUAUUUAAGUCAGGGGUGAAAUCCCGCAGCUCAACUGCGGAACUGCCUUUGAUACUGGGUAUCUUGAGUAUGGAAGAGGUAAGUGGAAUUCCGAGUGUAGAGGUGAAAUUCGUAGAUAUUGGGAAGAACACCGGUGGCGAAGGCGGCUCACUGGCUCAUUACUGACGCUCAGGCGCGAUAGCGUGGGGAUCAAACAGG